AAAACGCCCAGUAAACAGUAAAAUUAAAGAUGACUACCAGGAUAUCGAUUUUCUUUUUAAUGUAAAAGAUGGGAUUGUCAGUCAGUUACAACGUAAUGGGAUCAUCUUUGUCAUCUUGCUCUUGUCUGGAUGUAGCUGCAUAUUUUCUGCUCUGCACUUAAGACCUUCAGAGUCAAUAGUUUCACUAACUUCAGUGGACAUGGAUCAAGAAAAGCUCCCAGAGGGUUUCCACGAAGAUCUGCAGGAGAUGAAGAGGAAACUCAAAUACCUUUGGCCCAACUUUGCUUCCCCGUCGGGGAAUCAAACCCCAGUCUCCCGCGUGACAGACGGGGAUACUCACCACUAUACU